AGUGAACGCUGGCGGUAGGCCUAACACAUGCAAGUCGAACGGCAGCACAGGAGAGCUUGCUCUCUGGGUGGCGAGUGGCGGACGGGUGAGGAAUACAUCGGAAUCUACUCUGUCGUGGGGGAUAACGUAGGGAAACUUACGCUAAUACCGCAUACGACCUACGGGUGAAAGCAGGGGACCUUCGGGCCUUGCGCGAUUGAAUGAGCCGAUGUCUGAUUAGCUAGUUGGCGGGGUAAAGGCCCACCAAGGCGACGAUCCGUAGCUGGUCUGAGAGGUUGAUCAGCCACACUGGAACUGAGACACGGUCCAGACUCCUACGGGAGGCAGCAGUGGGGAAUAUUGGACAAUGGGCGCAAGCCUGAUCCAGCCAUACCGCGUGGGUGAAGAAGGCCUUCGGGUUGUAAAGCCCUUUUGUUGGGAAAGAAAUCCAGCUGGCUAAUACCCGGUCGGGAUGACGGUACCCAAAGAAUAAGCACCGGCUAACUUCGUGCCAGCCGCCGCGGUAA
rnacentral:rRNA from 1 species